rnacentral:rRNA from 1 species
CCUANGGGAGGCUGCAGCAACGAAUAUUCCGCAAUGGGCGAAAGCCUGACGGAGCGACGCCGCGUGAAGGAUGAAGUCCUUCGGGAUGUAAACUUCAAUAGUUUGUCAGGAAGCAAUAUGGUCUAAUACGCUCGUUUGUUGACCAGCAAACGAAAGGGGUGGCUAACUUCGUGCCAGCAGCCGCGGUAAGACGGGGACCCCAAGCGUUGUUCGGAAUCACUGGGCUUAAAGCGCGUGUAGGCGGAUCGGCAAGUACUUUGUGAAAGCCCCGGCUUCAACCCGGGAAUCGCUGGGUAUACUGCCGAUCUUGAGGCAGGUAGGGGUGACUGGAACCUUAGGUGGAGCGGUGAAAUGCGUAGAUAUCUAAGGGAACACCUGUGGCGAAAGCGGGUCACUGGGCCUGUCCUGACGCUGAGACGCGAAAGCGUAGGGAGCAAACGGGAUUAGAUACCCUGNUANUC